rnacentral:tRNA from 1 species
GGGGGUGUCGCAUAGUGGCCAAUUGCAUCGGACUGUAAAUCCGACGGCUUCGCCUUCGAUGGUUCGAAUCCAUCCACCCCCA